UACGUAGGGUGCGAGCGUUAAUCGGAAUUACUGGGCGUAAAGCGUGCGCAGGCGGUUUUGUAAGCCAGAUGUGAAAUCCCCGGGCUCAACCUGGGAAUGGCAUUUGGGACUGCAAGGCUGGAGUUUGGCAGAGGAGACUGGAAUUCUUGGUGUAGCAGUGAAAUGCGUAGAUAUCAAGAGGAACACCAGUGGCGAAGGCGAGUCCCUGGACGAUACCUGACACUGAGGCACGAAAGCUAGGGGAGCAAAGCAGG
rnacentral:rRNA from 1 species